AGUGAACGCUGGCGGUAGGCCUAACACAUGCAAGUCGAACGGCAGCACAGGAGAGCUUGCUCUCUGGGUGGCGAGUGGCGGACGGGUGAGGAAUACAUCGGAAUCUACUUUUUCGUGGGGGAUAACGUAGGGAAACUUACGCUAAUACCGCAUACGACCUACGGGUGAAAGCAGGGGACCUUCGGGCCUUGCGCGAUUGAAUGCGCCGAUGUCGGAUUAGCUAGUUGGCGGGGUAAAGGCCCACCAAGGCGACGAUCCGUAGCUGGUCUGAGAGGAUGAUCAGCCACACUGGAACUGAGACACGGUCCAGACUCCUACGGGAGGCAGCAGUGGGGAAUAUUGGACAAUGGGCGCAAGCCUGAUCCAGCCAUACCGCGUGGGUGAAGAAGGCCUUCGGGUUGUAGAGCCCUUUUGUUGGGAAAGAAAUCCAGCUGGCUAAUACCCGGUUGGGAUGACGGUACCCAAAGAAUAAGCACCGGCUAACUUCGUGCCAGCCGCCGCGGUAA
rnacentral:rRNA from 1 species